rnacentral:rRNA from 1 species
AGUGAACGCUGGCGGUAGGCCUAACACAUGCAAGUCGAACGGCAGCACAGUAAGAGCUUGCUCUUACGGGUGGCGAGUGGCGGACGGGUGAGGAAUACAUCGGAAUCUACUUUUUCGUGGGGGAUAACGUAGGGAAACUUACGCUAAUACCGCAUACGACCUACGGGUGAAAGCAGGGGAUCUUCGGACCUUGCGCGAUUGAAUGAGCCGAUGUCGGAUUAGCUAGUUGGCGGGGUAAAGGCCCACCAAGGCAACGAUCCGUAGCUGGUCUGAGAGGAUGAUCAGCCACACUGGAACUGAGACACGGUCCAGACUCCUACGGGAGGCAGCAGUGGGGAAUAUUGGACAAUGGGCGCAAGCCUGAUCCAGCCAUACCGCGUGGGUGAAGAAGGCCUUCGGGUUGUAAAGCCCUUUUGUUGGGAAAGAAAAGCAGCAGGCUAAUACCCCGCUGUUCUGACGGUACCCAAAGAAUAAGCACCGGCUAACUUCGUG